rnacentral:rRNA from 1 species
AAUUUUCCCCCACGGGUCCAAGCCUGCCGGAGCAAUGCCGAGGGAGGGAGGAAUGCUUGUGGGUUGUAAACCUAUUUUCUUAGGAAGGAUUUUUGCCGGUACUUAAGAAAUAAGCAUCGGAAGAGUUCGUGCCAGCAGCGGGGCUGAUGCGGGGGUAGCAAGGGUUAUCCGGAAUCAAGGGCGUAAAGCGUCUGUAAGCGGGUUAGUAAGUCUGCGGUAAUAUAAUAGAGCUUAACUGGAAAUCACCAGUGGAAACUAUUAAUAUAGAGUAUGGUAUGUGCAAAGGGAAUUCCCAGUGUAGCGGUGAAAUGGGUAGAUAUUGGGAAGAAUACCGGUAGCGAAAGCGCUUUGGUGGCUUUAAGGGACACUCAGAGACGAAAGCUAAGGUAGCGAAAAGGUUAGAUACCCCAGUAGUCUUAGCUGUA